rnacentral:rRNA from 1 species
UACGUAGGGUGCGAGCGUUAAUCGGAAUACUGGGCGUAAAGCGUGCGCAGGCGGUUUUGUAAGACAGAUGUGAAAUCCCCGGGCUCAACCUGGGAACUGCGUUUGUGACUGCAAGACUUGAGUGCGGCAGAGGGGGGGUAGAAUUCCACGUGUAGCAGUGAAAUGCGUAGAGAUGUGGAGGAAUACCGAUGGCGAAGGCAGCCCCCCUGGGUCGACACUGACGCUCAUGCACGAAAGCGUGGGGAGCAAACAAGG